rnacentral:rRNA from 1 species
GACGAACGCUGGCGGCGUGCUUAACACAUGCAAGUCGAGCGGUAAGGCCCUUUCGGGGGUACACGAGCGGCGAACGGGUGAGUAACACGUGGGUGACCUGCCCUCAGCUCUGGGAUAAGCCCGGGAAACUGGGUCUAAUACUGGAUAUGACUCCAUGACGCAUGUUGUGGGGUGGAAAGCCUUGUGCGGCUGAGGAUGGGCCCGCGGCCUAUCAGCUUGUU